rnacentral:misc_RNA from 1 species
AAGGAAGUGAAAAUCAGACAACAUUAUUCUAUCUCAAAUGUUCCCAUUUCAUAACACAUGAUACAAACACAUUAAAAUUAUGCACCAUGAAGUUAUGCUGAAAAUAGUAUGUCAAACAAAUGAGCCAAAAUCAGUAGACUUCAAAAAAUGUCCAAUAUUAGUCAAUAUAUUGGUCCAUAGAGGGGCCAAAAGAUUCAUUCGGGCAUGUUUGGUUCCAGUGAAUUCCAUAAAAUUUUAUAGAAUUCAACUCAAUUCCAUGUUUUGCAUGUUUGGUUUAGAAAAAAAAAUAGAUUUCAAUUUUGAAGAAUUCAAUUUUAUGGAAUUGAACAUAAUUAAAACUAAAUUAUAUCAAAAUUAAGACAAUAACAUUUUUGGGAUUAAAAUGCUAGAUACACUAUAAAAUAAUCACAUAU